rnacentral:tRNA from 1 species
GAGGCUUUAGCUUAAUUAAAGURUCUGAGUUGCAGUCAGGUGAUGCCGAUUAAAGUUCUGCAGGUCUUC